UACAUUUCCAGUGGCGAGCGCCGACGGCGUCCAAUCGUCGGAGUCACCACAAAUGUUUUCAGAGUAUGUAGAGGGAGUCUCAGGCCAUGGACCAACACUCAGAAGAAUGGUCCGCACCGAGACCCGCACGAUGACGACGUUCGAUGACGAGA